rnacentral:rRNA from 1 species
AGAGUUUGAUCCUGGCUCAGGAUGAACGCUGGCGGCGUGCUUAACACAUGCAAGUCGAACGGUGAACACGGAGCUUGCUCUGUGGGAUCAGUGGCGAACGGGUGAGUAACACGUGAGCAACCUGCCCCUGACUCUGGGAUAAGCGCUGGAAACGGCGUCUAAUACUGGAUAUGUGACGUGACCGCAUGGUCUGCGUCUGGAAAGAAUUUCGGUUGGGGAUGGGCUCGCGGCCUAUCAGCUUGUUGGUGAGGUAAUGGCUCACCAAGGCGUCGACGGGUAGCCGGCCUGAGAGGGUGACCGGCCACACUGGGACUGAGACACGGCCCAGACUCCUACGGGAGGCAGCAGUGGGGAAUAUUGCACAAUGGGCGCAAGCCUGAUGCAGCAACGCCGCGUGAGGGACGACGGCCUUCGGGUUGUAAACCUCUUUUAGCAGGGAAGAAGCGAAAGUGACGGUACCUGCAGAAAAAGCGCCGGCUAACUACGUGCCAGCAGCCGCGGUAAUACGUAGGGCGCAAGCGUUAUCCGGAAUUAUUGGGCGUAAAGAGCUCGUAGGCGGUUUGUCGCGUCUGCUGUGAAAUCCGGAGGCUCAACCUCCGGCCUGCAGUGGGUACGGGCAGACUAGAGUGCGGUAGGGGAGAUUGGAAUUCCUGGUGUAGCGGUGGAAUGCGCAGAUAUCAGGAGGAACACCGAUGGCGAAGGCAGAUCUCUGGGCCGUAACUGACGCUGAGGAGCGAAAGGGUGGGGAGCAAACAGGCUUAGAUACCCUGGUAGUCCAA